GUGUCUGAUAUUUUAAUGAAGGAGCUUUGCAAAAUAUGGACCAAUGUUUAAAAGUCAAGGAUGUAGUAUGUCCUGUAUUCUUCAUGAAUUCUCAGCUCUUCAGGGCACUGCUUCUCAGAUUCGACUUUUAUUUCCUGUCAUACUACCUGACAAGCUUCACACACCUGAGGACUUCUUGGUGGUCAUCAUUCUCACCAGGACCUGGUCCAGGAAUGUGUUUUCUGUCUUCUCUGUUCCCUCCAGGAAGUGAAGAAAUGGGAAGAGGAGAGGAGGAAAAAGAAGAGAAAAACACUGUAUGGAGGUGGGAGAGUAGAAGAAGUGACAAAAGGGAGGUGCAAAGGGUAGGAGAGAGACAGAGAAAGCAAAGGUGGUGGAUUUAAGGAGAGGAGAGGAGAGAACACAAGGGGUAGAGGUGAGGAAAAGAGGAGGAGAAAGAGGGAAGGAGAGAAAACAAGCUGGGCAGAGCAUACCUGGGAAGGUGAGUGCAGAGCAGUUAGUGUGAGUAACUUUCCCAAGUUUCCUAGGACUUUCCCAGUUUUAGCAUGAAAAGUCCUUCUUCAGAACCUGUUCAGUCCUGGAGGAAGCACAAUUAGUUGCUUGACCAGCAGCAACAGAAAUGGCCACAGAUCGACUGUGUAACCAACAUAAUCCGGCAAAAGUAACUAUUUAUCAUUUCUGUGGUUAGGCUAUCAAAGGUACUGUGGAUUCCAUCUUGCUCUCCCUUUCUCGUUCUCGAAUCAUUCUGGCAAAAUCCAGCUGCCCCGUUGUGAGCAGGCUCUGGACGGAAAAGUUACUGAGGCUUCCUCCCAAAGGAUCACCUGAGUGACAUCAUUCUACUUUCCAUCGCUUACAAGCCACACAUCUCCAUCUAUUUGCACAAAGAGCUUUUGAAUUUUGCCAUUUUCAACCUGUUGAGGAAAACAUCUCAGCUUCCCAAACUCUACUCUUUUACCUUAAAUUGUUGGAAACAUUAACUUAGAACAGGAAGGAAGCACCGCUGCUCCACAGGAAAUCAAAGAGCUUUGAAAGAAUCAAAACGCAGACAAUACAAGCACAGAUGGACAGAAAGACCACCGGGAUCCGGAAACAGCCAGGGUAGGCACAAUGGGAGGCCAGGCCCCGCCC
rnacentral:lncRNA from 9 species